AUUGAACGCUAGCGGGAGGCUUAACACAUGCAAGUCGAACGAGUGGCGGACGGGUGAGUAAUAUAUGGGAAAGUGCCUAAUAGCGGGGGAUAACUACUGGAAACAGUGGCUAAUACCGCAUACUAUCGGAGGUGCCGAUAGGGGAUUAGCUAGUAGGUGGGGUAACGGCUCCCCAAGGCGACGCUCCGUGGCUGGGUUGCGAGGACGACCAGCCCCACUGGGACUGAGACACGGUCCAUAUUCCUACGGGAGGCAGCAGUUGGGAAUUUUGAACAAUGGGGGAAACCCUGAUCCAGCCAUGCGGCGUGUAUGAAGAAGGCCUUCGGGUUGUAAAGUACUUUCAGCAGAGAAGCGUUACCCGCAGAAGAAGCACCGGCUAACUACGUGCCAGCAGCCGCGGUAAUUC
rnacentral:rRNA from 1 species